rnacentral:rRNA from 1 species
UGGGGAAUUUUGGACAAUGGGGGAAACCCUGAUCCAGCCAUCCCGCGUGUGCGAUGAAGGCCUUCGGGUCGUAAAGCACUUUUGGCAGGAAAGAAACGUCAUGGGUUAAUACCCCGUGAAACUGACGGUACCUGCAGAAUAAGCACCGGCUAACUACGUGCAAGCAGCCGCGGUAAUACGUAGGGUGCAAGCGUUAAUCGAAAUUACUGGGCGUAAAGCGUGCGCAGUCGGUUCGGAAAGAAAGUUGUGAAAUCCCAGAGCUCAACUUUGGAACUGCAUUUUUAACUACCGGGCUAGAGUGUGUCAGAGGGAGGUGGAAUUCCGCGUGUAGCAGUGAAAUGCGUAGAUAUGCGGAGGAACACCGAUGGCGAAGGCAGCCUCCUGGGAUAACACUGACGCUCAUGCAAGAAAGCGUGGGGAGCAAACAGG